ACUUACGGCCAUACCAUCCUGAAUACGCCUGAUCUCGUCUGAUCUCGGAAGCUAAGCAGGAUCGGGCCUGGUUAGUACUUGGAUGGGAGACCGCCUAGGAAUGCCAGGUGCUGUAAGUG
rnacentral:rRNA from 1 species